rnacentral:rRNA from 1 species
CCUACGGGUGGCUGCAGUGGGGAAUCUUGCGCAAUGGGCGAAAGCCUGACGCAGCCAUGCCGCGUGAAUGAUGAAGGUCUUAGGAUUGUAAAAUUCUUUCACCGGGGAAGAUAAUGACGGUACCCGGAGAAGAAGCCCCGGCUAACUUCGUGCCAGCAGCCGCGGUAAUACGAAGGGGGCUAGCGUUGCUCGGAAUUACUGGGCGUAAAGGGCGCGUAGGCGGACAGUUUAGUCAGAGGUAAAAGCCCAGGGCUCAACCUUGGAACUGCCUUUGAUACUGGCUGUCUUGAGUUCGGGAGAGGUGAGUGGAAUGCCGAGUGUAGAGGUGAAAUUCGUAGAUAUUCGGCGGAACACCAGUGGCGAAGGCGACUCACUGGCCCGAUACUGACGCUGAGGCGCGAAAGCGUGGGGAGCAAACAGGAUUAGAUACCCCAGUAGUC